GACGAACGCUGGCGGCGUGCUUAACACAUGCAAGUCGAACGAGUGGAGAACGGGUGAGUAACACGUGGGUGAUCUUCCUUGCACUAUGGGAUAAGCUUGGGAAACUGGGUGUAAUACCGGAUAGUGCACGAUGAGCUCGCGGCCUAUCAGCUUGUUGGUGGGGGAAUGGCUACCCAGGCGCGACGGGUAGCCGGCCUGGGAGGGUGUACGGCCACAAUGGGACUGGGAAACGGGCCAGACUCCUACGGGAGGCAGCAGGGGGGAAUAUUGCACAAUGGGCGGAAACCUGGUGCAGCGACGGCGCGGGAGUGAAGAAGGUUUUCGGAUCGUAAAGCUCUGUUGUUAGAGAAGCGGUAACUAACCAGAAAGGGACGGCUAACUACGUGCCAGCAGCCGCGGUAAUUC
rnacentral:rRNA from 1 species